rnacentral:rRNA from 1 species
UUAAGCGACUAAGCGUACACGGUGGAUGCCCUGGCAGUCAGAGGCGAUGAAGGACGUGCUAAUCUGCGAUAAGCGUCGGUAAGGUGAUAUGAACCGUUAUAACCGGCGAUUUCCGAAUGGGGAAACCCAGUGUGUUUCGACACACUAUCAUUAACUGAAUCCAUAGGUUAAUGAGGCGAACCGGGGGAACUGAAACAUCUAAGUACCCCGAGGAAAAGAAAUCAACCGAGAUUCCCCCAGUAGCGGCGAGCGAACGGGGAGCAGCCCAGAGCCUGAGUCAGUGUGUGUGUUAGUGGAAGCGUCUGGAAAGGCGCGCGAUACAGGGUGACAGCCCCGUACACAAAAAUGCACAUGCUGUGAGCUCGAUGAGUAGGGCGGGACACGUGGUAUCCUGUCUGAAUAUGGGGGGACCAUCCUCCAAGGCUAAAUACUCCUGACUGACCGAUAGUGAACCAGUACCGUGAGGGAAAGGCGAAAAGAACCCCGGCGAGGGGAGUGAAAAAGAACCUGAAACCGUGUACGUACAAGCAGUGGGAGCACGCUUAGGCGUGUGACUGCGUACCUUUUGUAUAAUGGGUCAGCGACUUAUAUUCUGUAGCAAGGUUAACCGAAUAGGGGAGCCGAAGGGAAACCGAGUCUUAACUGGGCGUUAAGUUGCAGGGUAUAGACCCGAAACCCGGUGAUCUAGCCAUGGGCAGGUUGAAGGUUGGGUAACACUAACUGGAGGACCGAACCGACUAAUGUUGAAAAAUUAGCGGAUGACUUGUGGCUGGGGGUGAAAGGCCAAUCAAACCGGGAGAUAGCUGGUUCUCCCCGAAAGCUAUUUAGGUAGCGCCUCGUGAAUUCAUCUCCGGGGGUAGAGCACUGUUUCGGCAAGGGGGUCAUCCCGACUUACCAACCCGAUGCAAACUGCGAAUACCGGAGAAUGUUAUCACGGGAGACACACGGCGGGUGCUAACGUCCGUCGUGAAGAGGGAAACAACCCAGACCGCCAGCUAAGGUCCCAAAGUCAUGGUUAAGUGGGAAACGAUGUGGGAAGGCCCAGACAGCCAGGAUGUUGGCUUAGAAGCAGCCAUCAUUUAAAGAAAGCGUAAUAGCUCACUGGUCGAGUCGGCCUGCGCGGAAGAUGUAACGGGGCUAAACCAUGCACCGAAGCUGCGGCAGCGACGCUUAUGCGUUGUUGGGUAGGGGAGCGUUCUGUAAGCCUGUGAAGGUGUGCUGUGAGGCAUGCUGGAGGUAUCAGAAGUGCGAAUGCUGACAUAAGUAACGAUAAAGCGGGUGAAAAGCCCGCUCGCCGGAAGACCAAGGGUUCCUGUCCAACGUUAAUCGGGGCAGGGUGAGUCGACCCCUAAGGCGAGGCCGAAAGGCGUAGUCGAUGGGAAACAGGUUAAUAUUCCUGUACUUGGUGUUACUGCGAAGGGGGGACGGAGAAGGCUAUGUUGGCCGGGCGACGGUUGUCCCGGUUUAAGCGUGUAGGCUGGUUUUCCAGGCAAAUCCGGAAAAUCAAGGCUGAGGCGUGAUGACGAGGCACUACGGUGCUGAAGCAACAAAUGCCCUGCUUCCAGGAAAAGCCUCUAAGCAUCAGGUAACAUCAAAUCGUACCCCAAACCGACACAGGUGGUCAGGUAGAGAAUACCAAGGCGCUUGAGAGAACUCGGGUGAAGGAACUAGGCAAAAUGGUGCCGUAACUUCGGGAGAAGGCACGCUGAUAUGUAGGUGAAGUCCCUCGCGGAUGGAGCUGAAAUCAGUCGAAGAUACCAGCUGGCUGCAACUGUUUAUUAAAAACACAGCACUGUGCAAACACGAAAGUGGACGUAUACGGUGUGACGCCUGCCCGGUGCCGGAAGGUUAAUUGAUGGGGUCAGCGCAAGCGAAGCUCUUGAUCGAAGCCCCGGUAAACGGCGGCCGUAACUAUAACGGUCCUAAGGUAGCGAAAUUCCUUGUCGGGUAAGUUCCGACCUGCACGAAUGGCGUAAUGAUGGCCAGGCUGUCUCCACCCGAGACUCAGUGAAAUUGAACUCGCUGUGAAGAUGCAGUGUACCCGCGGCAAGACGGAAAGACCCCGUGAACCUUUACUAUAGCUUGACACUGAACAUUGAGCCUUGAUGUGUAGGAUAGGUGGGAGGCUUUGAAGUGUGGACGCCAGUCUGCAUGGAGCCGACCUUGAAAUACCACCCUUUAAUGUUUGAUGUUCUAACGUUGGCCCCUAAUCGGGGUUGCGGACAGUGUCUGGUGGGUAGUUUGACUGGGGCGGUCUCCUCCUAAAGAGUAACGGAGGAGCACGAAGGUUGGCUAAUCCUGGUCGGACAUCAGGAGGUUAGUGCAAUGGCAUAAGCCAGCUUGACUGCGAGCGUGACGGCGCGAGCAGGUGCGAAAGCAGGUCAUAGUGAUCCGGUGGUUCUGAAUGGAAGGGCCAUCGCUCAACGGAUAAAAGGUACUCCGGGGAUAACAGGCUGAUACCGCCCAAGAGUUCAUAUCGACGGCGGUGUUUGGCACCUCGAUGUCGGCUCAUCACAUCCUGGGGCUGAAGUAGGUCCCAAGGGUAUGGCUGUUCGCCAUUUAAAGUGGUACGCGAGCUGGGUUUAGAACGUCGUGAGACAGUUCGGUCCCUAUCUGCCGUGGGCGCUGGAGAACUGAGGGGGGCUGCUCCUAGUACGAGAGGACCGGAGUGGACGCAUCACUGGUGUUCGGGUUGUCAUGCCAAUGGCACUGCCCGGUAGCUAAAUGCGGAAGAGAUAAGUGCUGAAAGCAUCUAAGCACGAAACUUGCCCCGAGAUGAGUUCUCCCUGACUCCUUGAGAGUCCUGAAGGAACGUUGAAGACGACGACGUUGAUAGGCCGGGUGUGUAAGCGCAGCGAUGCGUUGAGCUAACCGGUACUAAUGAACCGUGAGGCUUAACCUU